rnacentral:rRNA from 1 species
GACGAACGCUGGCGGCGUGCUUAACACAUGCAAGUCGAACGGAAAGGCCCUGCUUUUGUGGGGUGCUCGAGUGGCGAACGGGUGAGUAACGCGUGAGUAACCUGCCCUUGACCUUGGGAUAACUUCAGGAAACUGGGGCUAGUACCGGAUAGGAGCUCCUGCUGCAUGGUGGGGGUUGGAAAGUUUCGGCGGUUGGGGAUGGACUCGCGGCUUAUCAGCUUGUUGGUGGGGUAGUGGCUUACCAAGGCUUUGACGGGUAGCCGGCCUGAGAGGGGGAUCGGCCACAUUGGGACUGGGAUACGGACCAGACGCCUACGGGAGGCAGCAGUGGGGAAUAUUGCACAAUGGGCGGAAGCCUGAUGCAGCAACGCCGCGUGCGGGAUGACGGCCUUCGGGUUGUAAACCUCUUUCGCCUGUGACGAAGCGUGAGUGACGGUAAUGGGUAAAGAAGCACCGGCUAACUACGUGCCAGCCGCCGCAGUAACAC